UCCUGAGUGGCUGCAGCGGGAAAGCACCCAAGAAGCCAGCCCUGGUCACUCUGGCUGCUGCAUGGACAACAGUCUCUCCAGAGACCCAAGCGCCACUCUUAGAUCAACGAGCCUGUGAAGUCUCUAAGGCAGGUAAGCAGGUGUUCCCAGGAGCCCAGAGACUUGGUCAUUGGGCGGGAUGUGCUGUGUGCAGACUCCAGCCAAGGUGUCCCCGAUGUCUGCCAGGUGAGUGAGGAAUUCACCCACCCAGCCAUCUUUUCAUCUGUCACUAUCCACUGUCUGCCCAUCUAAUUAUCUAUGUUUAUACUUAUCCACCCAUGUUACAAGUUUUUUAUUGAUUUUUAGAGAGGGAGAAAGGGAGGGAGGGAGAGAGAGAGAAACAUCGAUGUGACAGAGAAACGCUGAUCAGUUGCAUCCUGUGUGCACCCCAACUGGGGACCAAACCCGAAACCUAGGUAUGUGCCCUGACCUGGACUCGAAUCCGAGACCCUCCGGAUCACGGGACAACGCGCAACCCACUGAGCCACCCGGCCAGGGCCAUAUUACAACUUUCUGUUAAGCAGCGUACGCCAGGCAUUGCUGGCCCUGGGAGUAGACUGACAGGGAAAUUGGCUCGGAGAGCUGAGAAGACCUGGCGCCAGCGCCAGAGGAGGAGUCCGGCGCCCUGGCCCUCAGGACUGUCGCCUCUCCACCACACCCCACUGCGUGCCUGUGUGGAGGACAUACCCACUCCACACCUUUGCCCCUGCCAUUCGCCCCGCCUGGGAUGCCCUCACGAGCCUCACCCAGGUCCAGGCUGGCUCAGGCUUCCUGCAGGACCCUGCCCCAUCCGGUCUCUCCUCAUCGUUGGUCCUCGUGUUUAAGAAAUGCCUCCCAUGUACUGAGCAUGGAACUGGAUGCAGGGACCACAAGUGACAGAGGGAGUCCCUGCCCCCAGGAGCUCAAAGGCAGCUGCCCCUCAGCAUGGUCGGUGCAGUCACAGAAGUUCAGGGACCUAUGGGACCCAGGCCCUCCACCCGGGCCUCUGGUGACAGACGUCUGGAAGGACUCCAGCACUUUGCCACAUGGCCCUGUUCUGACCACUCCCCCCGAGUGCGGGGGCUGAAGGAGCCCUGGCUGGCGCGGUGCCCUGCGGCGCUGUGCUCGCCAGUGUUGGCUGCGUGUGGGGGGGACGGUCGCAGCCUGCUCCCCAUCCUCGUUUGCUCUCCAGUUUUGAAGUUAUCCAUCGGCCAUGUUGGCAAAAACAGAAGCUUUUUUUAAUUAAAGGGGAAGAUUUAAAGCACCCUAAAUGUCCAGUUAUAAAUUAAUAGUUGAUGAUUAAAUAACUAGACAUUGUAGACUCAGGGUUACUUGGGCAGCAUUGCUGCUGAUCGCUGGGCACCUCGAGGCCUGCCCCUUAGACCGAGUCCUUUCCCGACUAGAGUCACAUACAGCACGUGUGUGGCCCCUGUGCCAGCCACGGCUCCUUCGGCAAAGCCGCCGGCCUCCGAGGCUGUCUCUGAGGCCCCGGCCAUGCUGUUGGUGGGCAGGGAAGGCCCCACGAGGAGCAGCACCUCCAGUGGGCUGUGAGAGCGACAACGGGUGCUGCGGGCAGGGCAGAGAGGUCCAAGCAAAGAUUGCGAAGGCCCACUGCUUGCAGUUUGAGAGGUUUCUGGCAUAUUAAUAAAGGAAGUAAUGCUAAAGAAGCCUAUAGAAGCCAAGGCACAUUUUUAAAGUUUACAACGGAUGCUUUAAACAACAAAGACUUCGUUUGGCCAUGAAAGUCUGAGGUCUGGAGGUGAGCCCUCGGUAGCUGGCCUGUGACAGCCGCACACUGGAUGGCUUAAGCAACAGAAAUUCACUUUCUCACCUUUUUGGAGUCUAACAGGGUUCAUUUGCUCUGAGGCCCUCUCUUGGCUUGUAGAUGACUGUCUUUUCCCUGUGUCUUUUCCCAUCGUCUCCCCUCUGUGACUGUGUCCUAAUCUCUUCUUCUCAAGGGACACCAGUCACUGGAUUAGGGUACACCCACAAG